rnacentral:rRNA from 1 species
AUUGAACGCUGGCGGCAGGCUUAACACAUGCAAGUCGAGCGAGCGGCGGACGGGUGAGUAAUGUCUGGGAAACUGCCUGAUGGAGGGGGAUAACUACUGGAAACGGUAGCUAAUACCGCAUACCAUCGGAUGUGCCCAGAUGGGCUUAGCUAGUAGGUGGGGUAAUGGCUCACCUAGGCGCCGAUCCCUAGCUGGUCUGAGAGGACGACCAGCCCAAAUGGAAAUGAGAAACGGUCCAGACUCCGACGGUAGGCAGCAGUGGGGAAUAGUGCACAAUGGGGGAAAGCCUGAUGCAGCCAUGCCGCGGGUGUUAAGAAGGCCUUCGGGUUGUAAAGUACUUUCAGCGGGGAGGCGUUACCCGCAGAAGAAGCACCGGCUAACUCCGUGCCAGCAGCCGCGGUAAUUC